rnacentral:lncRNA from 1 species
UAAUAUACUGACUGGUGUAAUUAUUACUGGUGGGAUAUACUGACUGGUGGUAAUAUACUGACUGGUGGUAAUAUACUGACUGGUGGUAAUAUACUGGUGGUAAUAUACUGACUGGUGGUAAUAUACUGCUGUGGUAAUAUACUGACUGGUGG